GAAAUGCGAUACUUAAUGUGAAACGCAACGCAGUGUGAAUCAUCAAGGUUUCGAACGCACAUUGCGCUAUUCCAGUCUUCUGGAACAGCAUGCCUGUUUGAGCAUCGUUUCAAAACUCAACCUUCCCUCAUACGGUGGGUUGGACGUUGAGUGCCCUACUUGUCAAAGAGUAGGCCACUUGAAAUGGAGAUCCCUUUCUGGACGCCUUGCAUCUAUUGAUCAGGCAUCUUGUGCUGUGACGGAGUUUACACUCCCCCGACACUCGAGUCUUGACCAUAGCUUGGUAUCAUCAUUCAUUGAAGGAAAGGAUCGUCACUACCUCAACACGCUCUUUCUCUCGCGAGGGAGGGAGUGCGUGUUUCAAAUCGCGAUCUCGAAUCAGGUAAGGCCACCCGCUGAA
rnacentral:misc_RNA from 1 species